AUUACUUUAGAGUAAGUAAGAUAAUGUUUAUGAUAUGAACAAGAAAUAGUUAUUUUGCAGAUAUUAAGUAUGUACCUAGAUUAGGGUGAGAAAAAGUCUCGUAAAAACGGGAUUGUCCAGUUUUUUAACGAUGGUACCGGGGGUCCCGAAAAAGUCUCCCGGGACGCCCAAAUGUCCCGUAUUUACGUUGGCAUUAUUAGAACAUAAUAUGUGACGUUGGGUUGAUGAUUUUUGUUGCGUCUCUCUUCGAUCCAUCCAAUAAUCCUUUAAGUGGAUAAUACGUAUGGUUUGUCCAUAGAAAAUUUAAUAUUUUUCAGCAAGGAAUUAAAAAGAUUGAAAGAAGUACAAAAAGUGUCAUGGAAGUUAAUGAUGUAUUGGAAUCUGUUCUCAUAGUUUUGACCAGAAAAAAAA
rnacentral:lncRNA from 1 species